GGGCGGAUAGCUCAGCUGGUUAGAGCGCCUGCCUUACAAGCAGGAUGUCGGGGGUUCGAGUCCCUCUCUGCCCACCA
rnacentral:tRNA from 1 species